rnacentral:rRNA from 1 species
GACGUAGGGCGCAAGCGUUUGUCCGGAUUUAUUGGGCGUAAAGAGCUCGUAGGCGGCUCGUUGCGUCGGCUGUGAAACCCGCAGCUCAACUGUGGGCCUGCAGCCGAUACGGGCAGGCUAGAGUUCGGUAGGGGAGACUGGAAUUCCUGGUGUAGCGGUGAAAUGCGCAGAUAUCAGGAGGAACACCGGUGGCGAAGGCGGGUCUCUGGGCCGAUACUGACGCUGAGGAGCGAAAGCGUGGGGAGCGAACAGG